rnacentral:antisense_RNA from 1 species
UAAUUUCAAAGUAAUAGAAUUCUACAAAUAUUUGGUGGCAAAUUUAGAUCAGGGUUUUAGUUGGUCUUAUUUGAAUUUAAACCACAUCUAGCAGAAAUCAUACACAAUUGGCCAAGAAGUUUGUCUAAUUGUAAGGGGGUGGCACAACCAUCAAGCAUGACAAAGUGGCAUCUCCCGACCUCUUUUAGGUACUCCAAAAUGGCCCUUUCAGGGAGUUGAUAUCUUUUCAAUACAUUUCUCAUGGUAAUGACAAUAUCAAGUGGUGAGUAACCCCCAAUAAAAAGUUCUUCAACAAUGGAGUGAGCUAAUCUCCAGUUACAUUUAACACAAGAGUCCAAAAUACUCUUAAUUUUCUCAGGAGAGGGAAUGUCGGAGACUUUGAGUACAUUAUCUCUAGAAACCAUAGAAAAUCCAUGGUAAGUUGCUUGGAGAUUGUUAAUUACAAUUCUCAUAUCUCCAUCUGCAGUAAAUACAAGAGUGUCAAUUCCAGAAUCAACGUAUGGAAUGUUCUCCAUCUUGAUAAUCUCAAAUAAUCUUUUUCUGAUUUGUGCAUCUGUAAGCUUUGAGUACCUAAUAAUUGCGCAUCUACUUUGGAUUGGCUCUAUAAUUUUUGUUGAUUGAUUACAAGCUAGAGCAAAACGGGUACUUUCUGAGUAAACUUCCAUUAGUCUUCUGAGAGCUUGUUGUGCUGAGUCUGUCAUACUGUCUACUUCGUCCAGUAUUACAAUUUUGUGCCUUCCUUCAGGUAAGUCAAUUUUCUCUCUUGCAAAGCUCUUGAUCUUAUCUCUAACAACGUCAAUUCCACGGUCGUCUGAUGCAUUUAAUUCUAGAACAGCUCUACCAUAUUUACUUCCAAGCAUUUCAGAAGCCAGACAGUGAAUACUAGUAGUCUUUCCUGUUCCUGGAGGACCAGAAAGAAGUAGAUUUGGCAUAUUACCAUGCUUGGCUAAGACUUUUAAUCGAGUUAAAACCUCUUCAUUACCAACCAUUUCAUCCAAAAUCUUUGGACGAUAUUUUUCUAUCCAAAUUUGGGUUGACAUUUCCAAUAUCUGCUUGCUUUUUACCAACUUAUUUCCCUAGCGUUUUAUACUUGUAUUUUUAAACAGCUAUUGCUUCACCAGCCUAUAGCUAAGUAAAACUUUAACCUAAUCCUAUAAAUCCCAAUAUACAACCAAUGCAAUCCCAAUAUAAAUAAUAUAUUCAC